GUGAAGUCAAUCAGAGGAAAUUCCCCCUUGUUGGAAAACUUAACAAACCGUGCUGUUUUUGUUGUUGCCUUCAACAAUAUCUAAAUGCUUUUGGAUUUGGAUAUAUUCCAAGGACGUCUAUUUGCAACUUUCAACAGAGAGAUCCACUCAGGAGGAACCACCAUAUUUGAUGGAGUCCCAUACUAUAACAUUAGCUGUACAUUGAAGGUGGUCCGUUAAAGCUGCCUGCGUGAUCAACCUGAGCCUCUCAAAUUACCCCUCUAUCCUCAUACAGUAGCCAGACAGUAGCUUCUCUUAUCUAGCUGCCAUGAACGGUAUGAUAGAAGGUGGAUAUGUGCCGGUGGAGCACCAUUGGUUCCACUGCGAGCAGCAGGUGGACUGUAAAGACUCCUGGUUUCCUUUCAGCAGGGAGGACUCACCAAGGCUGGAAGAGGCACACAA